rnacentral:rRNA from 1 species
AUUGAACGCUGGCGGCAGGCCUAACACAUGCAAGUCGAACGAGUGGCGGACGGGUGAGUAAUGUCUGGGAAACUGCCUGAUGGAGGGGGAUAACUACUGGAAACGGUAGCUAAUACCGCAUACCAUCGGAUGUGCCCAGAGGGGAUUAGCUAGUAGGUGGGGUAUAGGCUAACCUAGGCGACGAUCCCUAGCUGGUCGGAGAGGAGGACUAGCCACACUGGGACUGAGACACGGUCCAGACUCCUACGGGAGGCAGCAGUGGGGAAUAUUGCACAAUGGGCGAAAGCCGGAUGCAGCCAUGCCGCGGGAAUGAAGAAGGCCUUAGGGUUGUAAAGUACUUUCAGCGGGGAGGCGUUACCCACAGAAGAAGCACCGGCUAACUCCGUGCCAGCAGCCGCGGUAAUAC